UGCCAGCCGCCGCGGUAAUACGUAAGGGGCAAGCGUUACCCGGAAUUAUUGGGCGUAAAGCGUCCGCAGGCGGAAACAUAAGUCAGUUAUUAAAUACCGGUGCUCAACAUCGGUGCUGUAACCGAAACUGUGUUUCUAGAGGAUGGGAGAGGUAUAUGGAAUUGUGCAAGUAGGGGUAAAAUCCGUAGAUAUGCACAGGAACACCAAAAGCGAAGGCAGUAUACUGGACCAUUCCUGACGCUCAGGGACGAAAGCGUGGGUAGCAAAAGGGAUUAGAUA
rnacentral:rRNA from 1 species